GACGAACGCUGGCGGCGUGCUUAACACAUGCAAGUCGAACGAUGAACCCGGAGCUUGCUCUGGGGGAUUAGUGGCGAACGGGUGAGUAACACGUGAGUAACCUGCCCUGGACUCUGGGAUAAGCGUUGGAAACGACGUCUAAUACCGGAUAGGACCUUGGAUCGCAUGAUCUGGGGUGGAAAGUUUUUUCGGUCUGGGAUGGACUCGCGGCCUAUCAGCUUGUUGGUGAGGUAAUGGCUCACCAAGGCGUCGACGGGUAGCCGGCCUGAGAGGGUGACCGGCCACACUGGGACUGAGACACGGACCAGACUCCUACGGGAGGCAGAAGUGGGGAAUAUUGCACAAUGGGCGAAAGCCUGAUGCAGCAACGCCGCGUGCGGGAUGACGGCCUUCGGGUUGUAAACCGCUUUUAGUAGGGAAGAAGGGCUUCGGCUUGACGGUACCUGCAGAAAAAGGACCGGCUAACUACGUG
rnacentral:rRNA from 1 species